UUAGGACCCGUUUGCAACGACUUUCUAUACGGCUCCAAACAUUGCAUGUCCCGUUACAUAAUCAGCGAUGCCAGGCAAGUGUGUCCUACCUUCUGGUGAAUACCUUUUGCAUGUGGUGAGAAGGAACAUUAUUAGAAAACAUUGAAUAUUUGAAAUCAUGGUCCAUGUGACUGGCAGAGGCGAUGAGGUGCAGCCUCAGUAAAUGGAUUAAUUCAGGUUGUACCUCAAAGUUGUUUCCCGGCCUCUGAGGGGCCCAGAGAUGUAAGUGCUUUUGUUUCUUGAGCUAGGUCAAGGAUUCAGUUUUUCCUUCUAUGAAGGGAUGCAAUGAGUGCAGUGGACCGAUUCUUUAUCUUUAUGCAAAAUAUCUUAGUAUUAAUGUUUUACUUUUGAACAUUUGAUAUUUGAUUUUAAAACCCAGUUGGGCUCCCAGGGAGUGUGAAGUGUGUGUAUAUAAAUUCCUUCAACGUGCUUAAUCUGAAUCGUUCACUGCACAGGCAAAUCUCUACAUUAACGGUACCAGCGAUUUGCAAUCGAAGUACUCCGGUGAAUUUCAAGUCACUUGAGGUUGCCGGUGGUAACCAGAAACUUAUUAGCAUCUGGCUGACCAUGGUUCCAGUAAACUCCAAUCUCUGUGAUCUCUGUGGCAAGUUUUUAUUAGUCCAUUUGCUUUAGUCUGUGCAUAAACCGUACCAAGCUUUUGUCGGUUGCCGCACUUUUGACUUCCUCCAGUCCCCGAUGGCACGCAGACCCAAAUGUGCACACAGAAAUUUAGUGAGUACUUUUGGUUGGCUCACAAAUCGAGAUUGUCUUCAAAACGGGCGCCCUUAUCAUUCCAAUGUCUCAACAGUCCUCGAGGCAGCAUCGUGAUGCAACCUUCUGCAGAUGAUCAGGGGGUUCGCUUCAUAUGUUCUGCACAGAACAUUCUGCUGGUGUGCCUCUUGUGAUUAGUUCAAAGAGUUCAACCAUCCAGUCUACAGUGAGUUGAGUAAUGCUUUGUGAUUAUCCCAUGCUCGUCACUGCGUGUAAGGAAUAAUAAUUCAAUUCCUCUGCUAUGAAUGCGUAUGAGUUAGUGUCGUGUAGAUUUGCUCCGGCAGCAACAAUUUCGGCAGCUGUCUGCCAUAUCUUCCCACCACGCUUGCCAAUAUUCAUGGCUCUGAGACUGCAUCUUCAGUCUAACUUCCCCCCAAGUUCUGCGCUUCCUGCGUCGUCAUUCAUUGCGAGGAGCUCCUGCCAGACUUACAACCCUGUCUGUUCAGCGUGGUGACCAUUCUGAGUAAAUGGUAACUUGGUCAAAUUAUGGAGACUGGUUGUUUACGUGAAGAAGAAAAUAAUCCUGUUGAUGUCAGAUUCACAC
rnacentral:lncRNA from 1 species